rnacentral:rRNA from 1 species
AGUCAUAUGCUUGUCUCAAAGAUUAAGCCAUGCAUGUCUCAGUACAAGCCAAAUUAAGGUGAAACCGCGAAAGGCUCAUUAAAUCAGUUAUGGUUCCUUAGAUCGUACCCACACUUACUUGGAUAACUGUGGUAAUUCUAGAGUUAAUACAUGCAAAUAGAGCCCCGACCGGAGACGGAAGGGGCGCUUUUAUUAGAUCAAAACCAAUCGGUGGCGGUUCGCCGUCACCGUACUCCUUGGUGACUCUGAAUAACUUGUUGCUGAUCGCACGGUCUCGAACCGGCGACGCAUCUUUCAAAUGUCUGCCUUAUCAACUGUCGAUGGUAGGUUCUGCGCCUACCAUGGUUGUAACGGGUAACGGGGAAUCAGGGUUCGAUUCCGGAGAGGGAGCCUGAGAAACGGCUACCACAUCCAAGGAAGGCAGCAGGCGCGCAAAUUACCCACUCCCGGCACGGGGAGGUAGUGACGAAAAAUAACGAUACGGGACUCAUCCGAGGCCCCGUAAUCGGAAUGAGUACACUCUAAACCCUUUAACGAGGAUCAAUUGGAGGGCCAGUCUGGUGCCAGCAGCCGCGGUAAUUCCAGCUCCAAUAGCGUAU